GGGCAACGUUACAUUUUUUGGUUUUCCUGAUGAAAUGGUUACGUGAGAGGCCAGCGUUGGGGGAAGUCGGGUCGGGGUAGAGGGGCUCGGUGCAGCUGCUGGAACUUCUUGGUAAGUCUGAAACGAGUUCCAAAUAGAAGGUUUGAAAACUCUAUAUCAAGUCGCGCCCAGUGGCAGGCUCUGUUCCAGACACUGAGGACAUUGCAGUAACCACAACAGACACCGUCCUUGUCCUCAUGGAGCUUCUAUUCCAGGGAGAAGGGACAAACAGGAAACAGGUCAACAAAAAGCAUAAUGUCACACAGUGAUUGUGCUGGGAAGAAAGUAAAAUAAACUGGGGAGACGUGGCGAGAGUGGCAGGCGAGGGGCUCCUUUAGCUGGUUGGCCAGGGAAGAACUCUCUGAGGAGGCGACCUCUGAGCAAAGAUCAGAAUGACGAGCAUAGCAUCUGGCAGUGUGACAUCCGGAGGAAAAACUUACCCCAGGGAGAGAGGCCUCGUGCAAAGGCCCUGAGGCAGAAAUGGGGUUGGCCUGGUGUCGCUGGAGGAGACAGGAGCUAGGAGAGGAUGGCAACCCACAGGGCGUGUGGGUCAGCGAGGCGGACUGGAUGCCGGAAUGGUCCUGUGUCUUGGCUGCGGUGGUGGUGACCCCAACCUGCACGUGGGACAAACGGCACAGAAGUCUUCACACACGCUGUCCCAACGUCCGUCUCCUGGGCUUGCCAUUGUGUUACAGUUACGCAAGAUGGAACCACUGGGGGAAAGUGGGCCAAGCGACAAGGAGCCUUUCUGUACGACCUUCGAAACUUCCUGUGAAUUUAUAAUUAUUUCAAAAUAGAAAGUAAAAAUAAAUGACUAUGGGCCAAACAAACACGGUGGAGUUGGGGGAGGUUGGGUCCCUGAGCGGACAGUGCGCGAGCUCCGGCUUCGAGGAACAGGACCUUUCUUGACCCUCUGCCGAUAGCACCUUGGUUGUAUUGCCCUGGCUGCGAGGCCAGGUAACUAGGUCAGAGAGAAGGUGGACAUGUCAUCGUUGGCAUCAUAAAGAGCACAC
rnacentral:lncRNA from 1 species